rnacentral:rRNA from 1 species
GACGUCCCGGAGACCCUUAGGAAACAGGGGUGCUUCCAUCUGGAGGAAAUCUGGAGACAGGUGCUGCAUGGCUGUCGUCAGCUCGUGUCGUGAGAUGUUGGGUUAAGUCCCGCAACGAGCGCAACCCUUGCCUUUAGUUGCCAGCAGUUCGGCUGGGCACUCUAAAGGGACUGCCGGUGUUAAACCGGAGGAAGGUGGGGAUGACGUCAAGUCCUCAUGGCCUUUAUGACCAGGGCUACACACGUACUACAAUGGCCGAUACAAAGGGCAGCGACACUGCGAGGUGAAGCCAAUCCCGUAAAAUCGGUCUCAGUCCGGAUUGGAGUCUGCAACUCGACUCCAUGAAGUUGGAAUCGCUAGUAAUCGUGGAUCAGCAUGCCACGGUGAAUACGUUCCCGGGCCUU